GGACGUGAGACUCAGAGGCUGGCUUCUUGCUUGAUCUGUCGCUGGAUUUGGCAUUUGGCGAGAACUAAACGGCGACUAAGCCUGUAGUAGGUCCUCCGGCCGCUAUUUCGGACGCGGGUUCGAUUCCCGCCGUCUCCACAA
rnacentral:tmRNA from 1 species